GAUGAACGCUGGCGGCGUGCCUAAUACAUGCAAGUCGAGCGAACAGACGAGGAGCUUGCUCCUCUGACGUUAGCGGCGGACGGGUGAGUAACACGUGGAUAACCUACCUAUAAGACUGGGAUAACUUCGGGAAACCGGAGCUAAUACCGGAUAAUAUAUUGAACCGCAUGGUUCAAUAGUGAAAGACGGUUUUGCUGUCACUUAUAGAUGGAUCCGCGCCGCAUUAGCUAGUUGGUAAGGUAACGGCUUACCAAGGCAACGAUGCGUAGCCGACCUGAGAGGGUGAUCGGCCACACUGGAACUGAGACACGGUCCAGACUCCUACGGGAGUCAGCAGUAGGGAAUCUUCCGCAAUGGGCGAAAGCCUGACGGAGCAACGCCGCGUGAGUGAUGAAGGUCUUCGGAUCGUAAAACUCUGUUAUUAGGGAAGAACAAAUGUGUAAGUAACUAUGCACGUCUUGACGGUACCUAAUCAGAAAGCCACGGCUAACUACGU
rnacentral:rRNA from 1 species